AGUGUAGGCGGCUACUUAAGUCGGAUGUGAAAUCCCCGGGCUCAACCUGGGAAUUGCAUUCGAUACUGGGUAGCUAGAAUUUGGUAGAGGUAAGUGGAAUUCCGGGUGUAGCGGUGAAAUGCGUAGAUAUCCGGAGGAACAUCAGUGGCGAAGGCGGCUUACUGGACCAAAAUUGACGCUGAGGCUCGAAAGCGUGGAGAGCAAACAGGAUUAGAUACCCUGGUAGUCC
rnacentral:rRNA from 1 species